GGUAGGGUAGCCGAGUAGGCGGUGGGUUGUAGCCCCGAAGACAAAGGUUUGAGUCCUUUUCCUAUCA
rnacentral:tRNA from 1 species